rnacentral:rRNA from 1 species
AUUGAACGCUGGCGGCAUGCCUUACACAUGCAAGUCGAACGGCAGCACGGGGGCAACCCUGGUGGCGAGUGGCGAACGGGUGAGUAAUGCAUCGGAACGUACCCGGAAGUGGGGGAUAACGUAGCGAAAGUUACGCUAAUACCGCAUAUUCUGUGAGCAGGAAAGAGGGGGAUCGCAAGACCUCUUGCUUUCGGAGCGGCCGAUGUCGGAUUAGCUAGUUGGUGGGGUGAAGGCCUACCAAGGCGACGAUCCGUAGCGGGUCUGAGAGGAUGAUCCGCCACACUGGGACUGAGACACGGCCCAGACUCCUACGGGAGGCAGCAGUGGGGAAUGUUGGACAAUGGGGGAAACCCUGAUCCAGCCAUGCCGCGUGAGUGAAGAAGGCCUUCGGGUUGUAAAGCUCUUUCGGCCGGGACGAAAUCGCACUUCCUAAUACGGGGUGUGGAUGACGGUACCGGAAUAAGAAGCACCGGCUAACUACGUGCCAGCCGCCGCGGUAACAC